AUGCCUAUCUCUACCAUUAUCACUGCCUAUCUACCAUUGUCACUGCCUUUCUUUCCUUCAGUCUCUCUCCCUAUCGCUCUCCCUUUUUCUUUCUCUCUGUAUCCACAUUUUCUCUCUAAAUCUGCUAUCUCUGCAGCUCUUACCAUUGGCCACUUAACAGAUGCAAAAGAACUCCUCUUAAAUGAAUUGUCAUUCCAGACAAAAGCUGUCGUCGUGAUUGAUGUGGCAGUUGACAAAAUGUGCAAGUAAUGCCGACCGCCCCCAGAACCCCACCCACGUCCAUUCUUUUUCUGAGUCCCGGUUCUCUGUCCAGUCCCCUGUGAUGGACCCCAGUCUAUAACCCCGGAGUGUGAUCAUCAUCAUCCCAAAACAAGACAGGAAACAAAACAGGAAAAACAUCCCACUAGGUGUGUUGUUUGUGUUACAUGUGAGUAAUGUUUAUCAAAUGUUUUUCGACUCAAGUUUUAGAAUGUAUCCUCUGUGCACCGGCGACAUGUCAGGUGCCUGCUGAUGAUUAGUCUCUCCAUUGCCAUUGUUGUUUUCAACGUCAAUGCUUUCCUAGCGUCGUCUCAACUUCGGUAACAGUUUUGUUCCUCACGAAUGUCCAGAGUUUGACGUGUCCCUGUGUUCAGUUGUGCAGUUGAAAGAUCUGAAACGUGCGUACAAGGUUUUUUUUUCCACCUUUGACCUACAGUAUGUCAGUCUGACCCCCCUUCAUACCCCCUGCCCCUCAACAACAGAGAGAAUCUCAGAACAACAGAAGAGAUGAAAAUACUGACAUAUCCAGUAUCCAGAAACCUGUAGCACGCAGCUAAAAGUCCACUGAGGAGAGGAUAAGAGUGCUUAAAACUAAGAUAAAUUGUUCAAAGACAACCCUCAUUUCCAGGAAAAUAUUUAGAAUUAUAUCCAUUUUUACCAUUGAGGCAAUUCACGUGAAAUAUGACAUUUUCACAAUUGAAAAACGAGUAUUGGCCUAUCAUGGAUAAACACUGCAGGCUGACGGAGUGGUAAAGUCCAACAAUAUUUUUUUUUACAGAGGAAUGAUCAAAGACAAUCUUCAGUUGAGACGGUAACGCGAUGACCGUGCAACACUUCACAGCUGAAGUAAGGAGAGAAAGAGUGAACUAAAAAGAGAGGGGGGGAGGGGUGAGACAGGGCUUCAAACAGUCUCUCAGGGCAGCAGGUGCUCGUGGCACAGCCUCGGUGAUAAGAAAUGAAAAAAAAAAUAAAGGACAUAUUUGUUCUUCUU
rnacentral:lncRNA from 13 species